UGGUACAAACCAAUACCUAUAAUUUAAUACAUAUGCCUAAUCAGUAUAUAGAGUAAGAAAAUGAUCUUUUUUAUAUUCUCUUUUCCUAAUGUGUUUUUCAGGAAAGACUCAUGCUUACUGAGGUAAAACAGAAAUGCCUGAAUCUUGUUGUUUGCAAAAAGAUCCUCAAUCAGAGAUCUAUCUUUGUCAUUCAGACCGGCAUGGUGUAAUCAAUGCCCAACGACAAGGUGUGCCUCAGGUUAAAGAACCAUCUGCUGGGCUUCUUCUGGCAUACUAAGAAACUGCCUUGGAUGUUCAUCUAAGGUUUGUUGAAUUAUAAGCCUUAAGCUGACUUAAGAGUUAGUUAAUUAGUUUUUUUCUUUUUAUUCUUGUUUUUGACAAGUGUAUGUUCUCCAUUGGUUACCUAAGUGAACGGCUGAGAUCAUCUUGUGAUGUAAGAGAUCCAGCUACUGUGCAUAACAGAUAUAUUCCUCACACUAUGUGUGUGAGGUUGUAAGAAAGAAAAUAUGUUGAAAUGAACGCUCUGCUGCUACACGUAUAGCAGACAGAUCCUUUGCUAAAUUCUUCUCUGCUUCUUCUUCCACUUAUAUUUUCUUUCUGCAAAAUCUGAAUACACUAACAUGGCCUCAGAGCCAGGUUGGAUUGUCUAAAGAGCUGGGCGUUCAAUCUGUGAAAUAAGAAGACAUCAUCGGGAAUUUUGGGUUUUCUUCUCAAUCUGAAAGCAACUCGUUUUUGGAAGAAUCAGAGAUCAACCAUGGCUGGAUCUGGAAGCUCAGAUGUGAGAACUCCAAUUUUCUCUGGUGAAAAUUAUGAGUUUUGGAAGAUUAAGAUGGUGACCAUAUUCAAAUCAUAUGGGCUUUGGAAUCUGGUAGAGAAGGGAAUUCCAGUUUCAGAUUCGAAGAAGAAGGAGAAGGCAUCUGAGGAGACUUCAGAGGAAGAAGAUGAUGAGAAAGCAGCUGCAAUCCUCAUGAAGGAUGCAAAGGCUCUGGGUAUUAUCCAAAAUGCAGUCUCAGAUCAGAUUUUUCCACGAAUAGCAAAUGCAGACUCUGCCAAAGCUGCUUGGGAGCUAUUGCAUGGAGAAUUUCAUGGAGGAGAUCAUGUUAGAUCGGUAAAACUUCAAAAUCUUAGACGUGAAUUUGAAUAUACUAGGAUGCAUGAUAGUGAGUCAUUGUCUACUUAUCUUACUAGACUGAAUGAUCUGAUUAAUCAAAUGAAAACAUAUGGUGAAGUGCUCUCGAAUGAGAGGCUUGUGCAAAAGGUUUUGAUUAGUCUUAGCAAGGUUUAUGACCCCAUUUGUUUAGUGAUUGAAAACACUAAGAGUCUAGAGACUGUGGAGUUGCAAGAGGUAAUUGCUAUUCUGAAAAGUCAAGAGCAGCGAUUUGAGUUGCACAAUGCAGAUGCAACUGAGAAAGCUUUUGCCUCAUUCACAGUGAGUUCAAAAGGUCAGAAUAAAAAUGCAACUAAUUCUGGUCCAUCCAAGACUCAGAAAAAUUGGAAUCCAAAAGGCAAACCUUGGGAAUCGAAAGGCAAGCCUCAAUGGAAUAAUUCUGCACAGACUCACAGUUCAUCUACAGGUCAAGAAGCUGUAAAACCCCAAUGCAAGGUGUGCUCCAAGUAUCAUUUUGGAGAAUGCAGGUAUAAAGGCAAGCCAAAGUGUUACAACUGUGACAGGUUUGGUCACUUGGCUAGAGAGUGCACUGCAGAGAAGGCUGUGCAAAAGGCAAACUGUGCAAGUCAAAAGGAGGUGACUGGAAACCUGUUUUAUGCAAACUGUACUACCACUGAGUCAAAACCGAAUGGGGAUUGGUAUAUUGACAGUGGCUGUAGCAAUCAUAUGACAGGAAAUGUGGAUUUGCUUGUUGACAUAAGGACAAAUGUGGCUGGAAAGGUGCAGAUGCCAACUGGUGCUCUUGUGAAUGUGGCUGGCAUGGGUUCACUAGUUAUUGACACAACAAAAGGAAGAAAAUAUAUUAGAGAAGUAAUGUAUCUUCCGGGCUUGAAAGAGAAUCUGUUAAGUGUUGGACAAAUGGAUGAGCAUGGAUAUUGUUUGGUGUUCGGAGAUGGAAUGUGCAAGGUGUUUGAAAGCUCCUCAAUGAACAGCCUCAUUAUCAAAGUUCAAAUGAAGAAAAACAGAUGCUAUCCCCUGUCAUUCCUAGCUGAGAAUCAACUGCUCAUGAAGGCUAGUAUUACACAUAGCACAUGGAUUUGGCACAAAAGGCUAGGACACCUACACUUUAGAGGACUGAAACAGUUGAGAGACAAAGAUAUGGUACAUGGAUUACCUCAAUUGGAAGAGCAAAAUGUUGUGUGUGAAGGCUGCCAGUUUGGAAAACAACACAGGGAUGUUUUUCCAAAUAAUCAAGCUCAAAGAGCAAUCUCUCCACUUGAGUUAGUUCACACUGAUCUUUGUGGGCCUAUGAAAACUGAAUCUGUGGCAGGAAAUAAAUACUUCAUGUUGAUCAUUGACGACUGUACAAGGAUGAGUUGGGUGUAUUUCUUAAGAAACAAAUCUGAAGCUUUCAAUUGUUUCAAGAAAUUUAAAUCUAUGACUGAGCUGCAAUCUGGACACAAAGUGAAAUGCUUGAGAAGUGACAGAGGUGGAGAAUUUCUAUCUUCUGAGUUCAUAAAGUUUUGUGAAGAUCAUGGGAUUCAAAGACAGCUCACAAUGGCCUAUACUCCUCAGCAAAAUGGAGUGGUAGAAAGGAAAAACAGGACAGUGGUAGAAAUGGCUAAGUCUAUGCUACAUGAGAAGGAAAUACCUUAUUUUCUUUGGGCAGAGGCUGUACACACAGCUGUAUAUAUCUUGAAUAGAUGCCCUACCAAGGCGUUGAACAAUGUCACACCUUUUGAGGCUUAUAGUGGAAGAAAGCCGGGCAUUGCUCAUCUGAAAGUCUUUGGCUCUUUAUGUUAUGUGCAUGUGCCUAAUGAACUAAGACAUAAACUCGAGCCCAAGAGUGUGAAAGGAGUGUUUGUAGGAUAUGCAACCUGUGAGAAAGGCUAUAGGAUCUAUGAUCCAACCUCCAAGAAGCUCACCUUAUCAAGAGACAUUAUCUUUGAUGAAGAGAAGUCUUGGAACUGGUCCGAGCACUCAAAUAAAGUUGUGACACCAUUUCCUGAUGAAAGCCUAAGUGAGCAUGACUUUGAUAUAGGAGAUGGAGCUGAAAACGUUGCACUAACACCUCAGACUCAAACCCGAUAUGAAAGGAGUCCAUCAUUCUCUCAAGUAUCAUCACAACAUAUCUCAAGUGACAUAAGUAGUGAAGAAAGGAACACUCAAGCUUAUGAUCACUCACCAUUGAAGUGGAGAAAGUUAGAUGAUGUGCUUGCACAGUGCAAUCUCUGCAUCAUUGAACCAGAAAGAUAUGCAGAGGCAGCUCAAGACAAGGCAUGGCUAAGAGCUAUGGAAGAUGAACUCCAAAUGAUUGAGAAAAAUGGUACUUGGGAAUUGGUUGACAGACCAACUGAGAAACCAGUUAUUGGAGUCAAAUGGGUUUACAAAACCAAGCUAAACUUGGAUGGUUCAGUUCAAAAGAACAAGGCAAGGUUAGUUGCAAAAGGGUAUGCUCAGAAACCUGGACUGGAUUACAAUGAAACCUAUGCUCCUGUGGCUAGAUUGGACACCAUUAGAACCCUCAUUGCCUUAGCUGCUCAGAAAGAGUGGAAGCUGUACCAGCUUGAUGUAAAAUCAGCGUUUCUAAAUGGUGUAUUGCAAGAAGAGGUCUAUAUAGAUCAACCGGAGGGUUAUGUAAUCAAAGGCAAGGAAGAUAAAGUUUAUAGGCUGCACAAGGCUCUUUAUGGUUUAAAACAAGCACCUAGAGCUUGGUAUGGAGAGAUAGACACCUACUUCAUGCAAUGUGGUUUUAAGAAAAGCCUAAGUGAAGCUACUUUGUAUACCAAGUCAAGAGGAGAUAAAGAUAUUCUCAUUGUCUCCAUUUAUGUUGAUGACAUUGUGUAUACAGGGAGCUGCAAAGAAUUGUUAGAUGAAUUCAAGGAAGAGAUGAUGAUGAAAUAUGAGAUGACAGAUUUGGGCCUUCUACAUCACUUCCUUGGCAUGGGGGUGGUUCAAACGAAUUCAAGCAUAUUCAUUCAUCAAAAGAAAUACGCAGGUUCUCUAUUGAACAAAUUUGGCCUAAAUGAGUGCAAGUCUGUAACUACACCUCUUGUAGCAACUGAAAAGCUAGUUAAGGAUGACGGAAGUGGAGCAGCAAGUGAAGAGCAAUAUAGAAGCAUCGUAGGUAGCCUCUUGUACCUAACUGCCACCAGACCUGACAUUAUGUAUGCCUCUAGUCUGCUUGCUCGUUUCAUGCAUUGCCCCACAAAUAAGCACUAUGGAACUGCUAAACGAGUGCUAAGGUAUGUGAAAGGGACUCUAGACUAUGGUCUAGAGUAUGUAAAAGGAAAGAAUGCAAUGCUGAUUGGCUUCUGUGACAGUGAUUGGGGAGGAUCAAUUGAUGACAGCAAAAGCACUUCUGGAUAUGCAUUCUCCUUUGGCAGUGGUGUCUUCUCUUGGGCUUCAGUCAAGCAGAAUUGUGUGGCGCUGUCCACAGCUGAGGCAGAAUAUAUAAGUGCAUCCGAGGCUACUGCUCAGGCCAUUUGGCUUAGAUUCGUGUUGGAAGAUUUUGGAGAACUUCAGACAGAAGCAACCCCACUGCAGUGUGACAAUACAUCUGCGAUUGCCAUUACAAAAAAUCCUGUGUUCCAUCAGAAGACAAAGCAUAUUGAUCGAAGAUAUCACUUCAUCAAAGAUGCACUUCAAGAAGGCAUUAUUGACUUGGUGUACUGUCCUACUAAGGAACAACUAGCUGACAUUUUCACCAAACCUUUGGCUAAGGAUCCAUUCAAUUAUCUCAGGAGCAUGCUUGGAGUUAAAUCAGCUCAAGACUUAAAGGGGAGUGUUGAAUUAUAAGCCUUAAGCUGACUUAAGAGUUAGUUAAUUAGUUUUUUUCUUUUUAUUCUUGUUUUUGACAAGUGUAUGUUCUCCAUUGGUUACCUAAGUGAACGGCUGAGAUCAUCUUGUGAUGUAAGAGAUCCAGCUACUGUGCAUAACAGAUAUAUUCCUCACACUAUGUGUGUGAGGUUGUAAGAAAGAAAAUAUGUUGAAAUGAACGCUCUGCUGCUACACGUAUAGCAGACAGAUCCUUUGCUAAAUUCUUCUCUGCUUCUUCUUCCACUUAUAUUUUCUUUCUGCAAAAUCUGAAUACACUAACAAGGUUGAGAACUUCAAUAACAGAAAAGCACAAAAAAAUAGAAUCAACG
rnacentral:lncRNA from 1 species